rnacentral:rRNA from 1 species
GACGAACGCUGGCGGCGUGCUUAACACAUGCAAGUCGAACGGAAAGGCCCUGCGGUUGUGGGGUGCCGGAGUGGCGAACGGGUGAGGAAGACGUGAGUAACCUGCCCUUGACUUUGGGAUAACUUCAGGAAACUGAGGCUAAUACAGGACAGGAGCUACCGCAGCAGGGCGGGGGUUGGAAAGUUUCGGCGGUCGGGGAUGGACUAGCGGCUGAUGAGCUUGUUGGUGGGGGAGUGGCUGACCAAGUAGUGGAAUGGUAGCCGGCCUGAGAGGGUGACCGGCCUCCUUGCGCCUGCGCUACGGCCCAGUCCCCUAUGGGAGGCAGCAGUGGGGAAUAUUGCACAGUGGGAGGAAGCCUGUUGCGGCAGCGCCGCGUGCGGGAUGACGUCCUUUGGGUUGUAAACCGCUUUCGCCUGAGACGAAGCGUGAGUGACGGUACUGGAUAAAGAAGCACCGGCUAACUACGUG